AGAGAGCCACUUUGCAUCAGCAGCACCAUGCUCCAGUGCUCUGGGAGAGUUUAUAGUCCUGAGAGUUGAACACUGGAUGACUGACAGCUGUCCUUCAUGACAACAGAAGCCACAGAAAUCCUCCUCAUCAGAAACAUGACUUUGAUCCUCAUCUGGACUCUCCUCUGCUUCACUCAGGGGUCUGUGGGACAAAAUGUUGUGUUGACUCAGCCAGCAGCUAAAUCUGUCCAGCUGGGUCAAACUGUCUCUAUUCCCUGUCAGGCCAGUCCAAAGGUUUCCCACUACACUGGCUCUCAAUACUACCUGGCCUGGUACCAUCAGAAAACUGGAGAAGUUCCUAAACUUCUGAUCUACCGAACAUCAGAUAGAUUUUCUGGAAUCUCCUCCAGAUUCAGUGGAAGUGGAGCGGGGAAUGGAGUCGACUUCACUCUGACCAUCAGUGGAGUUCAGACUGAAGAUGCAGCAGUUUACUACUGUCAGAGUUAUCACUCUAUCAACAGUCAAGCUGUGUUCACACAGUGA